AGUGAACGCUGGCGGCAGGCCUAACACAUGCAAGUCGAGCGGCAGCGGGUUCCCGCGAGGGGAUGCCGGCGAGCGGCGGACGGGUGAGGAACACAUCGGAAUCUGCCUGGUUGUGGGGGAUAACGUAGGGAAACUUACGCUAAUACCGCAUGCGACCCUGAGUCGACGGACUGGGGGUGAAAGUGAGGGACCUUCGGGCCUCACGCGACCAGAUGAGCCGAUGUCGGAUAGCUAGUUGGCGGGGUAACGGCCCGCCAAGGCGACGAUCCGUAGCUGGUCUGAGAGGAUGAUCAGCCACACUGGGACUGAGACACGGCCCAGACUCCUACGGGAGGCAGCAGUGGGGAACCUUGGACAAUGGGCGCAAGCCUGAUCCAGCCAUG
rnacentral:rRNA from 1 species